rnacentral:pre_miRNA from 1 species
UUUUCGUUUUUUCGUGUCCAAUGUUUCACCAUUCGUCUUAUUUAGAAAAAUUUUUAUGAUUAAUAUUUUUGUUCUUAUUAGAUGAUAUUGCUAGAUGAUAAAACAUGAAUAGUACUUUAUAUGUGACUAAUUUUUUUAAAUUUUUAUAAUAAAUUUUCAAAUAAAACGAAGGGUGAAACGUUGGAUACGAAAAAACA